rnacentral:rRNA from 1 species
AGCGACGCCGCGUGCGGGAUGACGGCCUUCGGGUUGUAAACCGCUUUUGACUGGGAGCAAGCCCUUCGGGGUGAGUGUACCUUUCGAAUAAGCACCGGCUAACUACGUGCCAGCAGCCGCGGUAAUACGUAGGGUGCAAGCGUUAUCCGGAAUUAUUGGGCGUAAAGGGCUCGUAGGCGGUUCGUCGCGUCCGGUGUGAAAGUCCAUCGCUUAACGGUGGAUCCGCGCCGGGUACGGGCGGGCUUGAGUGCGGUAGGGGAGACUGGAAUUCCCGGUGUAACGGUGGAAUGUGUAGAUAUCGGGAAGAACACCAAUGGCGAAGGCAGGUCUCUGGGCCGUUACUGACGCUGAGGAGCGAAAGCGUGGGGAGCGAACAGGAUUAGAUACCCUGGUAGUCCACGCCGUAAACGGUGGAUGCUGGAUGUGGGGCCCGUUCCACGGGUUCCGUGUCGGAGCUAACGCGUUAAGCAUCCCGCCUGGGGAGUACGGCCGCAAGGCUAAAACUCAAAGAAAUUGACGGGGGCCCGCACAAGCGGCGGAGCAUGCGGAUUAAUUCGAUGCAACGCGAAGAACCUUACCUGGGCUUGACAUGUUCCCGACAGCCGUAGAGAUAUGGCCUCCCUUCGGGGCGGGUUCACAGGUGGUGCAUGGUCGUCGUCAGCUCGUGUCGUGAGAUGUUGGGUUAAGUCCCGCAACGAGCGCAACCCUCGCCCUGUGUUGCCAGCACGUCGUGGUGGGAACUCACGGGGGACCGCCGGGGUCAACUCGGAGGAAGGUGGGGAUGACGUCAGAUCAUCAUGCCCCUUACGUCCAGGGCUUCACGCAUGCUACAAUGGCCGGUACAACGGGAUGCGACACGGCGACGUGGAGCGGAUCCCUGAAAACCGGUCUCAGUUCGGAUUGGAGUCUGCAACCCGACUCCAUGAAGGCGGAGUCGCUAGUAAUCGCGGAUCAGCAACGCCGCGGUGAAUGCGUUCCCGGGCCUUGUACACACCGCCCG